rnacentral:misc_RNA from 1 species
GAUAAAGAACGUAGCGAAAUGCGAUAAGUAAUGCGAAUUGCAGAAUUCCAGUGAGUCAUCGAAUCUUUGAACGCACAUUGCGCCCUUUGGUAUUCCGAAGGGCAUGCCUGUUCGAGCGUCAUUAUCACCCCUCAAGCCCUCGGCUUGGUGUUGGACGGUUUGGUGGAGGCCCCCUCGGGGGCUCCUGCCCCUCCCAAAGACAAUGACGGCGGCCUCGUUGGACCCCCGGUACACUGAGUUCUUCACGGGACACGUAUCGGACACAUGGGUUUACGGGACACGGUCUGCCUCCCCUCAGGGAGAAUCUUUCAAAGGUUGACCUCGGAUCAGGUAGGGAUACCCGCUGAACUUAAGCAUAUCAAUAAGCGGAGGA